CCUACGGGAGGCUGCAGUGGGGAAUAUUGGGCAAUGGGCGCAAGCCUGACCCAGCAACGCCGCGUGAAGGAAGAAGGCUUUCGGGUUGUAAACUUCUUUUCUCAGGGACGAAGCAAGUGACGGUACAUGAGGAAUAAGCCACGGCUAACUACGUGCCAGCCGCCGCGGUAAUACGUAGGGGGCAAGUGUUAUCCGGAUAUACUGGGUGUAAAGGGCGUGGAGGCGGGAAAGCAAGUCAGAUGUGAAAACCAUGGGCUCAACCUGUGGCCUGCAUUUGAAACUGUUUUUCUAGAGUACUGGAGAGGUAGACGGAAUUCCUAGUGUAGGGGUAAAAUGCGUAGAGAUUAAGAGGAACACUAGUGGCGAAGGCGAUCUGCUGGAAAACAACUGACGCUGAGGCGCGAAAGCGUGGGGAGCAAACAGGAUUAGAUACCCGUGUAGUC
rnacentral:rRNA from 1 species